UACGGGGGGAGCAAGCGUUGUUCGGAUUUACUGGGCGUAAAGGGCGCGUAGGCGGUCGUGACAGGUCACUGGUGAAAUCUCCGGGCUUAACUCGGAACGGUCAAGUGAUACUGUCGGACUAGAGUACAGAAGGGGCAACUGGAAUUCUCGGUGUAGCGGUGAAAUGCGUAGAUAUCGAGAGGAACACCUGCGGCGAAGGCGGGUUGCUGGGCUGAUACUGACGCUGAGGAGCGAAAGCGUGGGGAGCGAACAGG
rnacentral:rRNA from 1 species